rnacentral:misc_RNA from 1 species
GAUUCCAGGUCGCGGCACCA